rnacentral:lncRNA from 1 species
GGAGUUUGGGUGUUUUUGUCACAACGCAUGUUGUCACAACGCAUGUUGUGACAAAAUGUUUUUUCAAGCCUUUUGGUCAUAUGUUGACAAAACGUGUGUUCACGCACGUUCGCGUGUUUGGUGAUGAAACACAUUUCCUCGCGUUUUUCAGGUACUGGGUGAUGACAUGCAUGAGCAUGCGUGUUCACGCAUUAUCAGGUAUUCGGUGACAAC